GUCUGUUUGACUUCAAAAACAGUCUGGCCUGCCCACUGAGUAUUUUAAAGGCCGCGGUACCCUGACCGUGCGAAGGUAGCGUAAUAAUUAGUCUAUUAAUUGUAGACUAGAAUGAACGGUCGGACAAGAAAUAUACUGUCUUAGUUUUAAAUAUUGAAAUUAACUUUUAAGUGAAAAGGCUUAAAUAAUCCCGGGGGACGAUAAGACCCUAUAAAACUUCAUUUUUACCAGAUAAAUUAAUAACUAUUUGUACAAAAUAACAUAUCUGCGUACCUAUUGCGUUGGGGCGACGAGAGUAUAAUACAUAACUGCUCUUUCUUUAAACAAUAAUAUUUGCCCUAAUGAUCAUUUUUUAAGAUUUCAAGAAAAAGUUACUUUAGGGAUAACAGCGUUAUUUUUUUUAAGAGUCCUUAUCGACAAAAAAGAUUGCGACCUCGAUGUUGAAUUAAAACAUCCUUGCAGUGCAGCAGCUGCAAAGGAAGGUCUGUUCGACCUUUAAAUUUUUACAUGAUUU
rnacentral:rRNA from 1 species